UUUUCCGCGAGGAACGGUCUGAAGGAAGCCGCUAGCAAAACUGCGAGCUGAUGAACAAGAACAUCUGAGGCGUAGGUCAGAGGCGAGUUGGCACAAGACGACGAAGCCAAGUGAUUUAAUGACCACCGUAAACGAUGCAGUUGCGCAGUGAAAGUCCAUGUC
rfam:Photobacterium profundum SS9 plasmid 1